rnacentral:rRNA from 1 species
UACAGAGGUCCCAAGCGUUGUUCGGAUUUACUGGGCGUAAAGGGUGCGUAGGUGGCGAGGUAAGUUCGAUGUGAAAUCUCCGAGCUCAACUCGGAAAUGGCAUUGAAUACUAUCCCGCUUGAGGGUCGGAGGGGAGACUGGAAUUCUCGGUGUAGCAGUGAAAUGCGUAGAUAUCGAGAGGAACACCGGUGGCGAAGGCGGCCUUCUGGACAGUGACUGACGCUGAGGCAUGAAAGCGUGGGGAGCAAACAGG